CGGAGGGCUAGCGUUGUUCGGAAUGACUGGGCGUAAAGCGCGCGUAGGCGGAUCGGCAAGUCGGGGUGAAAUCCCGGGGCUCAACCCCGGAAUGGCCUUCGAUACUGUCGGUCUUGAGUUCGAGAGAGGUGGGUGGAAUUCCGAGUGUAGAGGUGAAAUUCGUAGAUAUUCGGAGGAACACCAGUGGCGAAGGCGGCCCACUGGCUCGACACUGACGCUGAGGCGCGAAAGCGUGGGGAGCAAACAGGAUU
rnacentral:rRNA from 1 species